GGGAAACUGUGGUUCUGCCUCCUUGCUCUGUCACUGUGAGGCUGUCACUGUCUCCAGGUUAUUUGGCUGUUAGUAUGCUUGCCCCCAAAUGUUCUUGGUAAAGAGUGAGACAUUGUUGUUGUUCAUUUCCUGGCAGACCUCACUCUACAGACAGUGCCACACAUAGAAAGAUGACCCUGCCACUCCUGGAUAGAAAUUCAAAGACACAGAUUAGAAUCUUGCCAAUAGCUGGUCGUGAUCCUGAAUGCCAACGCACAGAAAUGAU
rnacentral:lncRNA from 1 species